rnacentral:rRNA from 1 species
CCUACGGGAGGCAGCAGUGAGGAAUAUUGGUCAAUGGACGCGAGUCUGAACCAGCCAUGUAGCGUGAAGGAUGACUGCCCUAUGGGUUGUAAACUUCUUUUAUAAAGGGAUAAAACGAGGCACGUGUGCCUUUUUGCAUGUACUUUAUGAAUAAGGAUCGGCUAACUCCGUGCCAGCAGCCGCGGUAAUACGGAGGAUCCGAGCGUUAUCCGGAUUUAUUGGGUUUAAAGGGAGCGUAGAUGGGUUGUUAAGUCAGUUGUGAAAGUUUGCGGCUCAACCGUAAAAUUGCAAUUGAUACUGGCAGUCUUGAGUAUAGUUGAGGUAAGCGGAAUGCGUGGUGUAGCGGUGAAAUGCUUAGAUAUCAUGAAGAACCCCGAUUGCGAAGGCAGCUUACCAAACUGUGACUGACAUUGAUGCUCGAAAGUGUGGGUAUCAAACAGGAUUAGAUACCCCAGUAGUC